GUGCCCGUAGCUCAGCUGGUUAGAGCGUCAGUUUGUGGCACUGAAGGUCGCCGGUUCGAUCCCGGUCGGGCACC
rnacentral:tRNA from 1 species